CAUACUCCACCUCAAAAGAGAAGGCAUUUAAUGAUGAACAUGAGAUGGGGGUGGUGAUUUGGGUGGGUCAUUGUACCGACUCCUGUUACUCCUGUUUUAUUUAAUUAGGCUUUCUUUUAACAUAUACUCUAUCAUUUUUUUCCCCCAACUUAAUUUUAAUAACUCUAGAUUCUACACCUUAUUUUCGCAAACAAAUAUUAGUUUAUGACACAGGAUGGCGCAUUAUGUACUGAUUGUUCAUUUUGUGCUGCUCUGGUUCACAGAUCGUUCAUUAAGCAGCAAAAUCAUUCAGACUACUGAUGUGAUCGAGAAUUCAGGAAAUAAUGUGAACCUCAGUUGCACUCAUACUUACAAGGACUUUUUUUACCUUUUCUGGUACCAACAAACAAGACAAGACACAUCACUGAAGCUUACUGGAUAUCUCUACACAACAACCUUCAAUAAGGAGACGGACUAUGAGAAGCGCUUUCAUAUUUACGGAGAUGCAAAAAGUGAAGGGAUCCUGCAGAUCUCCAACCUUAAUUCACAUGAUAGUGCAGUGUAUUUCUGUGCUGUUAGAGAAAGCACAGUGUCACGGUUAUCUGCUAUGUACUUCAAAAACUCCCUGUAUUAUAGUUAUGUAUGCUAUCUGCACAUCUCCAGCUGCUUCUGCUACAGAACGAAAAAGCAACAACUGAUCUUACUCUAUACAUAG